GGAAACACCCGUUCCCAUCCCGAACACGGAAGUUAAGCUCUCCAGCGCCGAUGGUAGUUGGGGCCAGCGCCCCUGCAAGAGUAGGUCGUUGCUAGGC
rnacentral:rRNA from 1 species